ensembl:lncRNA
CAUCUGGUCCACGAAGUCGUCACCAAGCUUUGCACUCUGGGAUUUGUGGUUUGUAGCAGAUCCAGUAGGACAUGAAGACCAAGAAAUGCACCAACAAAUCCCAUAAUGCAUGCGGCACCUCUGCAGCUAGCGCUCACACGAAAUGCAGCCGCGCGCCUGUUGCUCAGUCUUUAGCUGGAUCGCCGCUGAACGUGAACUACCUCGUGUGUCUACCGGGCAGAUGGAUGUGUCUACCGUGCAGAGAGAUGUGUCUACCGUGCAGAGAGAUGUGCAGCCUUCGUGGUGCUCAAGCCGUCCUGAUGGCUCAGUCGUUGUGGACUUUUAACUCAGUGUCUUGAAAUGGCUCAGUCGUUGUGGACCUGUAACUCAGUGUCUUGAACCGAUCACUCCGAUCACCUCUCCGUGGCCUGACGUGCGCAUCCCAUCCGUCGAAAUGAAGGAGGGCCCACGGAGACCGAAGGGCUGUGAUUGGUCCAACCCACGGGGACCGAAGGGCUGUGAUUGGUCCAACCCACGGGGACCGAAGGGCUGUGAUUGGUCCAACCCACGGGGACCGAAGGGCUGUGAUUGGUCCAACCCACGGAGACCGAAGGGCUGUGAUUGGUCCAACCCACGGAGACCGAAGGGCUGUGAUUGGUCCAACCCAUGCUGUUUACCUUAUGGUUCAGUCGUUGUGGACCUUUACCAGUGUCUUGAAAAAACCAUAUUGUUGCAUGGAGCAAAGCUGAUUGGCCAGUUGGAACAGGAAGUUGGGAAACACUAGUUUAAAUAUGUCUCUCUGUUUGUAAUGUGUAAUACAUUUGUAAUUAAAUGCCCACACACACACACACACACUAGUUUAAAUCUGUCUCUCUGUUUGUAAUGUGUAAUACAUUCUGUAAUUAAAUGCCCACACACACACACACUAGUUUAAAUCUGUCU